rnacentral:tRNA from 1 species
GCCAGUAUGGUGUAGUGGUUUGAGUACUGGACUAUGACUCUGGAGACCAGGUUUUGAAUCCCUGCUCAGCCA